UGUCAAAGUGACUCCAAUAGAUGAAUAGAGCCGGCCACUGGAUUCCUGGAGGAAAGGCUGCGGAACGUCAGGAAGCGGCUGAGAUCAACCAGCAGGUCGCAGAGCACGGCACAGACACCACCACAAACGCCAGAUGAUGGCGCUCUUGCAAGGGCUCUCAUACCAGAAUGUACCAUAUCAGACGAAUGUGGGUCACAGCUUAAAGAAUGGUUGAGAAAUAAUUCUCAGCCCCUCAGCCAGAUAGAGACCUACAUGCCGAACACAGCAGUCUACAGGGCCAAGUGGAUUAGGCACAACAAUUGGACCAUCGAUCAGAUCCUCGAAGAGUUCCCUCACCUAAUGACCAAAGGCAUGAUUGCACAGGCUUGUCCUGCAUGGGGAUGCUGCAUCAAAGUUGUUUGAAACUUGGUCACGUGAAAUGCCAGGAGGGGAGUCUAAAAUGGUAAAGUUUAUUCAAAGUAGAAUACUUGCUUGCAAGUAGAGCUAAUGGCUCUUAAUAGCAGCUUUUUAAUAGGAAUUUGAAUUUGUUCACUAUAGACCUGUUGAAUGUUCAGCCAGUUCAUUCGUAAUUGUUGUUUUGCUCUGAAUGUUUUGCUACCUGAGUGAUAUGAACUGCACCAGUUCCACUAUAUUGUUGAUAUAAUAAUUUUUUU